ACUACAAAAAUUGGGAAAAGUAGUAAGAAUCCUAGUUUCGUUUUAUCGUCACCACCCUCGUCAUCAAACUAUUUGCUAUUGUGAAUUGCUGCUAUAAACUCAUACAACUCGCUCUCUCUCUGUCUCUCUCUCUGCUCUUUGAUUCGGAGUUUGGUUCUUCUUCGGCCAUUCAAACGGUUAACUUGGAUUUAAAAAUACUAGGGUUCUAGAUCGUCCCUUCCGCGGAAGACCUUUGUAUCCGCAUGAUUCAUUGUCUUUGGGCUUAGACUGGCAGAUGGGAGUGAGACAGAAGAUAAGGAGCUCCAUUUCUUAUGGCUGCGUUUCGGUUUCUGGCUAAUUAUGAGAUGAUCAUAUCUGAAUUACUUUUAAUAUUUUCAAGAAGUUUUGGCUCCUUGAGAUAAGAGGAAGCUAUCACAGCUGCUGAUAUUUGUUGAUAGGGGAAGGUUGAUCUUCAGCCAUGCCUUCUCUUCAACUUUUGCAAUUAACUGAGCAUGGUAGAAGUUUUGUGGCUUCGAGAAGGAAAACUCUACUUGUUGCCACUGGUAUCCUAGCUGCUGGCGGAACUGCUGCAUACGUUCAAUCAAGGUUUAGCUGUCGAAAGCCCAAUUCUUUUAGUCAUUAUAAUGGUCUUAAUGAUGCUAAACAAAAAUCAGAGAAGGUGCCUAGGGAUGACAAUAAUGUAAAGAAAACGAAACGAAAGAAAGGAGGAUUGAAGUCACUUCAAGUCCUUGCUGGAGUCCUACUGUUUGAGAUGGGAAAAAUGGGUACGAGGGACCUCUUAGCUUUACUGGCCAUGGUGGUGUUGCGAACUGCUUUAGGAAACAGGCUGGCAAAAGUGCAGGGAUUUUUAUUCCGCGCUGCUUUUCUUCGACGUGUACCAUUAUUUUUCCGGUUGAUUUCGGAAAAUAUUAUAUUAUGUUUUCUUCUUUCAGCCAUGCAUUCGACCUCAAAUUACAUUACAGGGACCCUUAGUUUGCGGUUCAGAAAGAUAUUGACGAGGCUUAUCCACACUCAUUAUUUUGAGAAUAUGGCUUAUUACAAAAUAUCAAAUGUUGAUGGACGGAUAAAUAAUCCCGAACAACGAAUUGCAAGUGAUGUACCGAGGUUCUGUUCAGAGUUGAGUGAGCUUGUACAGGAUGAUCUAACCGCAGUGACUGAUGGUCUGCUCUAUACUUGGCGUCUAUGUUCUUAUGCCAGCCCCAAAUAUGUCUUCUGGAUUUUGGCCUACGUAGCAGGAGCAGGGGCCAUGAUUAGAAACUUUUCUCCUGCUUUUGGGAAACUUAUGUCUGAAGAACAACAAUUGGAAGGAGACUAUCGACAACUUCAUUCACGAUUAAGGACACAUGCAGAAAGUAUAGCAUUUUAUGGUGGAGAAAGGAGAGAAGAAUCUCACAUUCAGCAAAAGUUUAAAACCCUGAUUAGGCACAUGAGUGUUGUCCUUCAUGAUCAUUGGUGGUUUGGCAUGAUUCAGGAUUUCUUACUCAAGUAUCUUGGUGCUACAGUUGCCGUUAUCUUAAUCAUUGAGCCCUUCUUUUCUGGCCAUCUGCGACCUGACACUUCAACCAUUGGGCGUGCAGAGAUGUUGAGCAAUUUAAGAUACCAUACUAGUGUUAUAAUUUCACUAUUUCAGUCUCUUGGGACUCUUUCUAUUAGUUCAAGACGACUUAAUCGUCUCAGUGGUUAUGCUGACCGCAUUCAUGAGUUAAUCGUCACAUCAAGAGAGCUAAGUAUGGUUAAUGAUAAAUCUUCUCUGCAGAGAGAUGGGAGCUCUAAUUACAUUAGUGAAGCUAAUUACAUUGAGUUUGCUGGUGUCAAGGUUGUUACCCCCUCUGGUAAUGUCUUGGUGGAUGAUUUGACUCUUAGGGUUGAAUCAGGAUCUAAUCUUCUGAUCACAGGUCCCAAUGGUAGUGGAAAGAGCUCACUUUUUCGAGUUUUAGGAGGCCUCUGGCCUCUAGUAUCUGGCCACAUUGUGAAACCUGGGGUUGGUUCUGAUCUUAAUAAGGAGAUUUUCUAUGUGCCACAACGACCAUACACUGCUGUAGGAACACUUAGGGAUCAGUUAAUUUAUCCUCAUACUGUAGAUCAAGAGGUUGAGCAUCUCACUCCUAGUGAAAUGGUGGAGCUAUUGAAAAAUGUUGACCUUGAGUACCUGUUAGAGCGUUACCCACUUGAAAAAGAGAUUAACUGGGGAGAUGAACUAUCUCUGGGCGAGCAACAAAGAUUGGGGAUGGCCAGACUGUUCUACCAUAAGCCUAAAUUUGCAAUUCUUGAUGAGUGCACGAGUGCAGUCACAACUGAUAUGGAGGAGCGCUUUUGCGCGAAAGUUCGAGCAAUGGGAACAUCAUGCAUAACUAUAUCACAUCGACCAGCACUAGUUGCAUUUCAUGACGUGGUGUUGUCUUUGGAUGGUGAAGGAGGCUGGAGUGUUCAUUAUAAAAUAGAAGAUUCUCCUGUCCAUAGCGAAGCAGAUAUAACUGUGGUGAAGAGUACUGACACAGAACGCCAGAGUGGUGCAUUGGCUGUACAACGAGCAUUUGCGACAGCUGGAAAGAAUUCUACUCGCUCAUGUUCCAAUGCACAAUCAUACAUAACUGAGGUGAUAGCAGUGUCUCCUCCUGUGGAUAAAACAGUUCCAUUGGCAGUGUUUCCACAAAUCCAAAUGACUCCAAGGUUAUUGUCAUUGAGAGUAGCUGCCAUGUUCAAAAUACUGGUACCAACAUUACUUGAUAGACAAGGAGCACAAUUCCUUGCAGUUGCUCUUCUCGUUGUAUCAAGAACAUGGAUCUCUGAUCGAAUUGCCUCACUGAAUGGAACCACCGUGAAGUUUGUUUUGGAGCAGGAUAAAGCAUCCUUUAUUCGGCUAAUUGGUGUUAGUGUUCUUCAAAGUGCUGCAUCUUCUUUCGUUGCACCUUCUUUAAGGCACUUGAAAGCCAGACUGGCCCUUGGGUGGAGGAUCCGUUUGACUCAACAUUUACUGAAGAACUAUUUGAGAAAUAAUGCAUUUUAUAAGGUCUUUCAAAUGUCAAACAAAAAUAUUGAUGCAGAUCAGAGAUUAACUCAUGAUCUGGAAAAGUUGACUACUGAUUUGUCGGGACUGGUUACUGGAAUGGUAAAGCCAUCUGUGGACAUUCUCUGGUUCACAUGGAGAAUGAAGCUGUUAACAGGUCAGAAGGGAGUUGCCAUAUUGUAUGCCUAUAUGUUACUGGGUCUGGGUUUUCUAAGAACUGUUGCUCCUGACUUCGGUGAGCUGGCAAGUAAAGAACAACAACUUGAAGGGACCUUUAGGUUCAUGCAUGAAAGACUGCGCACUCAUGCUGAAUCUGUUGCUUUCUUUGGGGGUGGUGCUCGAGAAAAAGCUAUGAUUGAGUUGAGAUUCAGGGAGCUUCUCAAUCACUCCAUGUCACUUUUGAAAAAGAAAUGGCUGUUUGGUAUACUUGAUGAUUUUACCACCAAGCAACUCCCAAAUAAUGUGACUUGGGGCUUGAGCUUGUUAUAUGCUAUGGAACACAAGGGUGACCGAGCGUUGGUUUCUACUCAGGGUGAGCUGGCACAUGCAUUGCGGUUCUUAGCUUCUGUUGUAUCUCAAAGCUUCUUAGCUUUUGGUGACAUUCUUCAAUUGCAUAAAAAAUUCCUUGAGCUCUCUGGUGGCAUUAACCGAAUUUUUGAGCUUGAAGAGCUUCUACAUGCUGCACAGUCUGCGGACUCUCUGUCUGAUAUCAAGUCACCAUCAGACAGGAGAGAUCAUUACUCUGAAGACACCAUUUCCUUCUCUGAAGUGGAUACCAUUACCCCAGCACAGAAAAUGUUGGCUAGGCAGUUGACAUGUGACAUAGUACCAGGGAAAAGUCUGCUUGUUACUGGUCCAAACGGGAGCGGGAAAAGUUCAGUCUUCAGAGUCCUUAGAGGUCUAUGGCCCGUUGUAAGUGGAAGACUCACUAAACCAUCCCAAGAUAUUGAUGAAGCGGCUGGAUCUGGCUGUGGUGUUUUCUAUGUUCCUCAGCGACCUUACACAUGCUUAGGAACCCUGAGGGAUCAAAUUAUAUAUCCUCUCUCCUAUGAGGAGGCAGAAUUGAGGGCAUUAAAGUUGUAUGGAAAAGGUCAAAACACUCCUGACACCAAGAACGUACUGGAUUCAUGCUUGAAAACUAUUUUGGAGAAUGUUCGAUUAAAUUAUCUCUUGGAAAGAGAUGAAGGUGAUUGGGAUGCUAGUCUGAAUUGGGAAGAUAUUCUUUCUCUUGGAGAACAACAGAGAUUGGGCAUGGCACGCUUAUUCUUUCACAAGCCUAAAUUUGGCAUCCUUGAUGAGUGCACCAACGCAACCAGUGUUGAUGUCGAAGAACACCUUUAUAGGCUUGCAACAAAUUUGGGCAUCACAGUUGUUACCUCCUCACAACGUCCGGCGUUAAUACCAUUCCAUUCCAAGGAAUUACGGCUAAUUGAUGGUGAGGGCAACUGGGAACUUCGUUUGAUCAAGCGAUGAAUUCCACUCUGAUAGCAUCUGCAGUUGUGACUUUUUUUUGCUGUUCAAUUCUUACACGAUGCGGUGGGAACAAGCCAACGCUGGCUUUGCCAAUCAAAGGUGGGGGAGAUGGUGGUGGGCAAAGCAGAAGAUAGUCAGAUCAAUCCAAAUUGCAGAAACUGUUGGACGGUGGAUAGAUAAUAAGUUUGAAGCGUAAUCGAAUUCAAAGCUUCUGUCGCAUUAAGAAUCUGUACAGUUUUUUUUUUUCGUUCUCUUUUUUCCUUUACCCUUCUGUUAGCCAUUCGAUCAGCCAUAUGUUGUAAGAAUUCGAAAUCUGUCAUAUUGAUUAGCCAACAUUAAUAAAAUGUCACAAGAAAAGGCCAUUAUUACUUGCCCAA